AUUGAACGCUGGCGGCAUGCCUUACACAUGCAAGUCGAACGGCAGCACGGGUGCUUGCACCUGGUGGCGAGUGGCGAACGGGUGAGUAAUACAUCGGAACAUGUCCUGUAGUGGGGGAUAGCCCGGCGAAAGCCGGAUUAAUACCGCAUACGAUCUACGGAUGAAAGCGGGGGACCUUCGGGCCUCGCGCUAUAGGGUUGGCCGAUGGCUGAUUAGCUAGUUGGUGGGGUAAAGGCCUACCAAGGCGACAAUCAGUAGCUGGUCUGAGGGGACGACCAGCCACACUGGGACUGAGACACGGCCCAGACUCCUACGGGAGGCAGCAGUGGGGAAUUUUGGACAAUGGGCGAAAGCCUGAUCCAGCAAUGCCGCGUGUGUGAAGAAGGCCUUCGGGUUGUAAAGCACUUUUGUCCGGAAAGAAAUCCUUGGCCCUAAUACGGUCGGGGGAUGACGGUACCGGAAGAAUAAGCACCGGCUAACUACGUG
rnacentral:rRNA from 1 species